rnacentral:rRNA from 1 species
GAGUUUUGAUCCUGGCUCAGGAUGAACGCUAGCUACAGGCUUAACACAUGCAAGUCGAGGGGAAACGAUAUUGGAAGCUUGCUUCCGAUAGGCGUCGACCGGCGUACGGGUGAGUAACGCGUAUCCAACCUGCCCACCACUUGGGGAUAACCUUGCGAAAGUAAGACUAAUACCCAAUGACGUCUCUAGAAGACAUCUGAAAGAGAUUAAAGAUUUAUCGGUGAUGGAGUGGGGAUGCGUCUGAUUAGCUUGUUGGCGGGGUAACGGCCCACCAAGGCGACGAUCAGGUAGGGGUUCUGAGAGGAACGGCCCCCCACAUUGGAACUGAGACACGGUCCAAACUCCUACGGGAGGCAGCA